GCCCUCCCCCUGCCUCCGGAGCCGCGCCGUUGCCCCUGCAGUGCACCUGACGCCGGCUGGCUCUCCUGCCUCUCCUUUCGGCAGCUGUAACUCCGCGCCGGGGACUCGCUGCUCGUGCUCGGCGCGCUCUACUCCACCCAUCCGAUCAUCUCUCAAGGUUUCCCCCUCCAUCUUUCAAGGUUUCUAUCCAUGGCACUUGAUAACAUAUCUACAUGUUGUAGCUCGUCAGUAUUCAUUCCUGAGAUGAGUUUGCUUAAUGUCCCUUUAACCAGCA